UACGAAGGGUGCAAGCGUUACUCGGAAUUACUGGGCGUAAAGGGUGCGUAGGUGGUUGUUUAAGUCUGUUGUGAAAGCCCCGGGCUCAACCUGGGAAUUGCAUUUGAGACUGCGUAGCUAGGGUGCGGAAGAGGGAAGCGGAAUUUCCGGUGUAGCGGUGAAAUGCGUAGAUAUCGGAAGGAACACCAGUGGCGAAAGCGGCUUCCUGGUCCAGCACCGACGUCAGGCACGAAAACGUGGGGAGCAACAGG
rnacentral:rRNA from 1 species